rnacentral:piRNA from 1 species
UGCAAUAUUACACGUUGGUUCUUCAAUA